CGUGCCAAUGUUAUUUCUUAAGAGAGUGUGAGCACAGUAAGGAUGUAUGGACCCUCAUCGAUACGGCCUCAUUCUCAGUCACAGCCUCAGCCUCAGGCAAAUGCUUUUUUUCAAAGUACCGUCAACACGGUUAGAUUGUAUGGACCCCCUACACCAUUAGGGAAAUUUCAGCCAGGAGGGUCUACUCAGCCAACAGGAUCUUCUCAGGCAUUGAUAGUUACUCAACCAACAGGGUUUUCUCAGCCAUGAGGAUUUUCUCAGCUAAUAGGGUCUUCAUCAAAGCCUGUUACUAGAGGUCGAAAGAUUGUUCCAACAGUGGAGAAGGCAACUAAAGUACUUGAGGCUAAUUAGAGAAAGAGAAAGAAGCCGGAAUGGAAAAAAUAUUAGGGUUAUUGCGUU